GUGCAACCGGCCCACUUACCCAGAAAAUGACAUUGAAGCCGAAGAUGAAAUAUUUGAUGCAACAACUGACUUCAGGCCCCUUGUAGUGCUUCCCGGACAUCCUCUGCGCUCAUGAAGACACUUUGCUCGCAGCCAGGAUUGAACAGAGUUAAUGGACACAGCAGCUCCAUGGAUCCAGUUGCACUCAGUCCUGAUGCCUUUUGUGGAGGGAUGGGCAUCUUUUCUAGUACAGGUCAAAGGAGUUGUUAACCAGAUUUCCAGCACUCAGCAACUGAACAACCCAACAGAAGGGAAGACACAAACUAAGCUGUAAACAGGAUGGGUAGAGAGCACAGUUUUUUUUUAAAAAAAAAAAUCCAACGCAAGGAUCAGUAUCUCCACCUUCUUUUGUUAAGUGGUAGUGCUGGCAUGUCUGCCACCAAACUGAAUUGGAAAGGGAGGCUCAAAGACAAGCGACUACAGGGGAUGAUGCAGAUGGAACUGCCUCCUCGCAAGGCAUUGCUAUGCUGGAAAUCCAAUUGCUGUGAGAACAUCUAAGGCCAAUUCUAUGAAUUUGUUCAGAAAGGGACUCACCAAAUUAACAGAGACACAUCAGUCAGUAGCUAUUAAACGUGAUAGUCUAGGUGCAGGGUUUUUUGCCAAAAGUUGACAAGGUGUCCCAGAAGAAAGAUCACACUAUACAUCUUUCAUUUCUUAAGCUGUUUUCUAAUCAUCUGUCAUUAGUCACUCUUGGAAACAGGACAUAAACUUAGGUCAAUAUUUUAACCAAGUCAGUAUAUAGGAGGAUACCUUUUCCUGUCAGCCCCAAGUUUAAAAUAACCGUGGUCAAGAAUACAGUAUGUGCCAGAGGAAGGCAAACAGCAGCACUCCUGGCUCCCAAGCAAGCCAGAAAAGCAACUGUCUGCAUGAAAUGCUCCAAGCAAUAAAGCAUCUGUUUUGUAGCUCUACUAGCAGAAAUGAAACCCCUGUGUUUGGAGGAAUUUUUUGUUUUUUAAACUGUCUCCAAAGAAUAAACAGGCUCUGGAUUUCAUCACAUGAAGUAAAGUAAAGCAUAUUCCCUUUUUUAGUGACGGUCUAUGGAACAUUAGUUUAAUAAGAGAAAACUCCUGUCAGCUCAGUCUACUGUUGUAGUUACACGUAGUUCAUUUUUCCUACUUAUACCACAACCUAUAGUCAUAGAUAACAAUUAACCAUAUGAAUAAAAAUAUCAUAGUUUUGUCCUCCUGAACUGAAGGGAAAUAGUCUCAUCAAAUAAUGCUGAAAACUGCUAUCAACGCUUUCAAAGGCAUCUACCAUGGGUUGAGUUACCUUUCUAACCAGGACAGCCACAGAGAACUGCUGCAACUAUGGCAUUUUGUGACUUGGACUGUGACAUGGCACAGGAGCCUUUUCUGUAACACUUAAUUUUCCUCUUGCACAUCUGAUGUUGCUAGAUAAAAGAAACAAGCUCUCUGAAGGGCUCAGUGCAAAAGCCACCUGCAGGGGGAUGUGGCAUGAGCUGAAGUCUGUUGAUUUUUCCAGUUGUUUUUUUUUUUUUUUUAAGUCCUUGCUGGGGCAGAUAUGAACAGCUGUAUAGGUAAUCACAGUGAAGGUUUUACAUGAUCCUAAAUGAUAAACACAAAACCAACUGUUGGGAAAAGGGCAGGCAUUAUUGAUUUCUACCUUGCUUCACCUGUGCUUUUUUAGUGGAGUUCCAUUUGGGACAUGCUGCCUUCUGCCAUAGUGCAAAAUGUUUACCUCUACAUGUUUACCACUUGAGAUUUUCCAUGUUACUAUUUUAUUACUGCUUGAGGGCACAUGAUAGCUGGGGGCCAGCACCUGGAGAAUGUGCUCUUGCAAGUACUUGAAUUACCAUCCCAUCAUUUCAGGCAGGAAGGAGGUGGGAACAGGCCCGGCUGGUAAGCCUUUCCAAAGCCUUUCACACACCUGGUGAAGCUCUCAAGCACUCCCUUGUGUGAUCCACAGCCUGCUGCAGGGAAAUACAUGGCCAUGUUCCCUCAGCAGCUCAGCUCUGCUUCGUGCAUGGAAGGGAGGAUGCCCAAAAGCCAGGGGUGGCACUGGAGUCAGAAAGCGAGUUUGUAGUCCAGCUGGACUGGAGCUGUUCUAACCUACGCCCUUGGCAUACCAUCUCCCUCCUGCUAGAUCUUCCUAAUACCUGCCAGUUCUGUGUGACUGAGGAGUUCCUUUAUCCAGGGCAAAAUUCUUAAGCCACACAUUCCUAUCCCUGCCCCUUUUUAUAGUCUUUGCAGCAAAAUCUUGACCACAACAAAUGGUCCCUGUGUUGUUUGAUGACAAAGCACAAAAGAAACUUUGCUGAAGGGCGUAAAAAAAAAACCCAAAGGCUACGUUUAAGCUGUUACCCAUGCAGAAAAGUUGUUGACAAUGUACUCAGAACAGAACAGACCAAAUAAACUUGAAGCUACAAGGCUGAAAUCACUGGAAAACAAGAACUCAGUUGUCAGUGUUCACUGAUUAUUUUUUUUUUUAAAUAAUAAAAAUCACUAGGUCUCACUAUUGAAACAAAAGUUUUAAGUAGCAGCUUAGCUGAAUUGUUUCCCCUUCUACAAGAUCUCAAACUCAACUGAAUGUUCCUGCUGUAAAGUAUCACAAGGACAGAGGCAGAAGACAGAUAGGGAAACCCAUGGGACUGCAUUUUCUACCCCAGUACUCCUCACACAGACACAAAGACCUGGGUGGACUUACGCAGACUAUCAGGAAGUCCCAUAAACUUACUUUUCUCUGCCUUUCCUACAUUCAGGUCACCCCAGAGCUAACAUCGGAGAAGCACAUUAGACUAAUGCUAGGGCAAGCUCUGUCCUGAGAGCAGAAGCCUUUUAUUUUCUGGCUGAGUACUGAUGUUUACACAAGGACUUUGCCUCACAGAACUCAAGCUUCUUUCCCCCUCCAUUUAAUUUUCCACAGUUAAAAUGCCUUUACAGUCAAUUGUUUCAAGCUCAAGGCAUAGCUCAGACUACAACCUGGAGAACAAAUUGCCCUGUUCAACAAAACCAUUUCACAAACUCCAAUUCUUCUCUGCUUUAUUAAGGGAUCACCAUGGACAAAUCAGAAAAACUUGAAACACUGCAUUAAGGUGAGCCAAGCCAGCUGCAGCCAGCCCAGCCUGCACGUAGGUGCCUUAAAUCAACAUGCUGUUCAAGAACUGUUUGAAUAUUUUAGUGCUCUGCCAAUACAAUUAUCAUUGAGCACAGCUCAACAAUGCUUUGGAAAUCCUCUGAAACCCUUAUAAAAUAGGCAAAAAUAAAGCCUCUCAAAACGGACACAACACAGGGCAGAAACCGUGCUUUUCCAGCCAGAAGUACUCUCACACAUAGCUAAGUGUCCAUACAAACCUUGCUAACUCUGUCCCCAGCACUGCAAGGCACAGCAGCUAGGGACAGCCAGCAAGUGAUCUCACUGCAAACAGCUCAUGCUGCCAAAGCGUUUUACUCCCAUCCUGACACACACCAAUUCUGCUGCACAUUCCAGCAACUGCUUCCUUGAGGGGCAGGAAGACAGAGCUAGGCUAGGGCUGAAACGUGUUAUAAUGAAAGUAUACACAGGGCAGUGUUUCAGAAAAGCUAAGUCUGUUACUCAAACCUAGAAAAACUUGAAAACAUGUGUAAGACUGAGUUGCCUCAAUAUGGUUUUACUAGAGAUGACCCUAAACACCAUACUCUUCAGUGCAAUUAAGAUGUAGCCUCAAGAGCAUAAAUGAGAAAAGGUUGUUAGAGCUGCAUUCAAUUCAGAGUUAACCGUGUUCCGGCAGAACACCUAGAAUUCCACAGGAAUACUCAUCUUAGACUGUAUCACAAUAUUAAAAGCCACAAGGCAACAGUUAGUGCAGUAACAUCAGGUGCACCAGAUCCAGGAGCACAUUUCUACACUGCAAUAUAAAUAUAGCUGGUGAAGAUUACCUCAGAGGGUAGAAGUGAAAACCUCAUCUCUCAGUCCUGGAGCUUACUGAAGAUAGCACAUAAAACUAUAGCAAGAACUUACAAACCACAACCAGCUUCCAGCUGCUCAGAGCUGUGUCUUGGGGCACCCCCUCAGCAAUAACCACCGUGCACACUGCAGGGACAGACCUGCUGCACACACAUGACUGCAGAGGGCAAUGUCUGAACAGCACCCCAGCUAAAAGCAAACAGUAGCCAAGGAAAAGCAUCCAAACUGUUAAUUCUUCCUUCAUCAUUUUUACAUUUCACACAAAUGUAAAAGAACCAUUUCCUGCUUAAGAAAUCAUCUAUAUCCAAACAGGAUUUUGGGGGGGUUUUUGCAGUACAUUCUUGUAACAGUUCACUGCUGUUGCAGCUUAUGACUAGUCUGCUAUUACAAACCCUCAAAACACUGGUAAACCCCCGAGUUUAAUGAAGGUCAAGCGAGACAAAUCCACAUGGCCCAAAGUCACAUUCACAAACUUAAGAAAACAUUACAUUGAGGAUUUGUGUCUACUUUUGCAAUAAAGGAACAGCAGUUCCUUGCAAAGGGAAUUGACCCUAAAAUUGCAUUGCUUUUCAGCUAAACCUGUUGGUCCUUGCAUCUACCUUCAGUUUUUUCUCCCCAGAAUACCUCUGAACAAUCCAAUCUCAGUUCUGCCCUUUAUGCCCACCUCACCCCCGCCCCACAGUUUGUGCAUACAGGGAAGAAACCUCGCUAGUGAAUUAAGACUUAAGCCUUUUAAGCUUUUAAUUUUUACCCAAACCAACCUGGAAUGCAUCUGUCCCUAGAUGGCAGCCUACAGGUAUUUCUCACUUGCCUUUAAAGGAUGAACUCGAGGACAAAUUUUCCAGGGUCAGGGAAACUUUGAAGCAGCACCUCCACCGCUGAAGUCAGUAGUCACCACUUCCUCACGACUCAGGAACACUCCCAUUUCAAAUGUGAAAGAUGAACUGAGGCCAUGCAGUGACAUCAGUUUACAGCAAACAUCUACUCUCGUAUCCAAAAAUUCUCCAGUAUUAAGUGUAUAGCUGUGCAAUGAUACACCUACAGAGAUUGUUUCUGUCUGGCCUUAAAAGCCCCAUAAUGGAUAGCACAGACAAACUGCUCCUCCAAGUUCACAAUACUGUCUCCAGCUGUUCAACAUCAAUAGGGUGGCACAACUGGAUCACAGGAGCUCCUAUUAGGAGAUCACCUGCAAUUUGCUGCUAGCUAGUACCACUGUACAAAUGUAUUCAACUACUACCUAUCUAUGAAACUAUGGCAGACAAGGGAAGAGCAGUCAGCAGUAUUUUUGCAAUCAUGUUACACAGGUUUUGUUUAGAACAAGGCUGACCUGUGGGUGAGCUGCAGAAGCCCUAACUGCAAAUGCCAAACUGAGGGGUGAACACGUAUUUCAGAGUAGUACCUUAUUAAUUUAUCUUUGAUUUGCAUUUCUAUACAUCCCAUACAGAGUCAAGAAGCUGAGACAUUCAGUUCCUCAGAAGCUUUAUUUUCAUUCAAGCUACACAAAUAAAGUAGUACCUUCCAAUUUCCCAUUAUACUUUCUGCGUAUUUGUACGGCUCAGCAGGGUGAGAUGCACUAGGAUAACUACCCUGUACGUAUGGAGGAAGACUCAAAACUAGCUUUACU